GAGGUGUAUCACUGCCCCAGCUCCUCUGUUUUCCAUCUUGCAGCUGACAACUUCAGUUCCUUCAAUUCUCACUAGAUCAGAAACAUGACUCCUGCUUUGCUGAGUGUUUCUUCCAAUGACCAACAGUGUUGGCAGGGCACAAAGUAGAAGGCUUCAGGAGUUCCUGUCAUUGCUCAGUGGAAACGAAUCUGAAUAGGAACUGUGAGGAUGCAGGUUUGAUCGCUGGCCUUGCUCAGUGGGUUAAGGAUGGCGUUGCCACGAGCUGUGGUGUAGGUCGAAGAUGCGGCUUGAAUCUGGCAUUGCUGUGGCUGUGAUAUAGGCAGGCGGCUACAGUUCCAGUUCCCAGGCUAGGGGUCCAAUCGGAGCUGUGGCCGCCAGCCUACGCCAGAGCCACAGCAACGCAGGAUCUGCAACCUACACCACAGCUCACGGCAAUGCUGGAUCGUUAACCCACUGAGCAAGGGCAGGGACCGAACCCGCAACCUCAUGGUUCCUAGUCGGAUUCAUUAACCACUGCACCACGACGGGAACUCCAGAGACCCCAUUCUUAAAAGGCGCACACAGACUUUCACGUGCACUGGGUCCCAGGGCAAAGCAAAGUCUCCAUAGGAAUCUGGGUCAAACCUGACUGCAGUUCUUGGAGGACCUCCUGGGAAAACAGGGGUGACUGUGGCUUGUUGUGGGGGAACAACAUUGGAAGGAAAGCUCUUAGGAAUAUUCAUCAGCCUGUCUUUCUCUGGAGGUGGCCAUUUUGGGAAAAUCUGGCCCCACCCGUCAGCACGCUGAGAAGCUGCAGGGCAAACAACAACCCAGGGGGGUUCACAGCCCCGCCCAACAGCCAACAGGCUGCGUAAAGACCCCCCAGGCACACAGCCGCCUCUAAUCUCACCCAGAGACAACACCCCACCCACCAGAGGGAUAGGAAUCAUCUCCACCUACCAGUGGGCAGACAUCAGUCCCUCCCAUAUGGAAGCCUACAGCAAACCCCCAUACCAACUUCAGCCACAAGAGGGGCAGACACCAGAAGCAAAAGACGCUACAACUCUAUUAUCUGAAAAAAGGUCAGCUCACCAAAAAAAAUCUUGGAAUUCCUGUUGUGGCUCAGUGGAAAUGAAAAUGACUCACAUCCAUGAGAAUGGUUGUUCAAUCCCUGGCCUUUCUCAGUGGGUUAAGGAUCAAGCAUUGCCAUGAGCUGUGGUGUAGGUCACAGGCUACAGCUGUGGCUACAGCUCUGAUUUGACCCUUAGCUUGGGAACCUCCAUAUCCGCAGGUGCGGCCCUAAAAAAAACAAUAAAAUUAAAAAAAAUUUUAAAAACCUUUAAGUGAAUCUUGGCCUUUUGCAGUGCUGACAUAUGUCACUGUUCUCGCUCCACAUUUGUUUUUCAUCCUUCAAUUCUUCUAUUUUCUGCAGUAAGUUAUGAAGCCUUUAUAGUUUGGAUAUAUAUUUAAUAGCUGUACAUAUCCUUUUCCUGAUGUGGAAGGAUGCAGGAUUUAUGGUUGUACAUAUCCUUUCUUAAUUUAAGAGAACACAGGAAGCAAUAGCCACACCCAGCCCAGCCCUGGGGAGCUGGGUGUCCUGUGGCCCUCUGCCACCUUGUGUCUACGUCUGGGUACUGCACUAUCCUCAGUGUUGUCUGAGAAGGAAGGAGUCCUACCCACUUCUGACGUGUAGCCACCACCAUCACCAUACAGCCAUCCCCAGACCAACCCCGUCCUGUGGGAUGGAAGAAUAAGUGCUCCAUGUUCCAGGAGGAAAAUGCAGUUCUGCCUGCCAACCUCACUUAGACUCCUGCUUUCUCCUUACUGCUGAGACUGUGCGCAAGUUACUCCACCUUGUUUAGACUUAGUCUCUUCUUUUUUUUUUUUUUGUCUUGUUGCCUUUUCUAGGGCCGCUCCCACAGCAUAUGGAGGUUCCCAGGCUAGGGGUCUAAUUGGAGCUGUAGCUGCCAGCCUACGCCAGGGCCACAGCAACGCAGGAUCCAAGCUGCGUCUGCAAGCUACACUACAGCUCAUAGCAAGGCCGGAUCCCUAACCCACUGAGCAAGGCCAGGGAUUGAACCUGCAACCUGAGCCACGAUGGGAACUCCUAGACUUAGUUUCUUCUAAGAAAUCUAUGGACUGUAGAUAAUAAUAAACACCUGCCUCCUGACCUGUGACCACUGAACUUCUAGGAAACCAAACUGAUGUAAUGUUGUAAAGAUUAAAUGAAAAAUCAUAAGUGCCUACAGAUCAUUGACCAGUGAAUACUUCUGGAACAAAUGAAAGAACGAGUAAGUAGCUAAUUGAACAGACUUGGGAAGAAGCUUGGGCCGUCAGUCCAAAUUCCUUCUCAACGCUUAAGUCCCUUCUUCUGAGGAGCCCCAGGAAGAUGAGGCAUAAGGAUGGUGGUGGCUAAGGGUGAGGCUGUCUUUCCAACAGUUGCUCUUGAAGGAGCACCUUCCAAAUUUCUAAAGACAAGGAACUAAUUAGCCUGGCUGGGUUGGGAGCCUGCCCCUGGUCCAGGCAGCUGGCCAAGAAUCUGCUAUGUUAGUUAACAGAGACCAGGAAGGGGUGGGUUCUUGUGAGGUGGAUUGACAUUCUGGAGUGUUUACUAAACCACAUGAGAGUGUGAGGCCAGUAACAGUAGCAACAGAAUAUUGAUGGGGAAAUUCCUUCUGAGACCCAGAGUUAAGUCUUAGAAAUGAGCCACGGAGUUCCCGCUGUGGAACAACAGGAUCAGCAGCCUCUCUACAGCACAAGGAUGCAAGUUUAGUCCCUGGCCCAGCAUAGUGGGUUAAAGGAUCUGGUGUUGCUGCCACUGUGGCAUAAGUGGCGACUGUGGCUCAGAUCUGAUCCUUGGUUGGGAACUACAUAUGUUGCAGGGUGACUAAAAAAAAAAAAAAAAAAAAAAAAA
rnacentral:lncRNA from 1 species